CUUUCAGUCUUCUCUUCUCUUCUUCUUUUCCCCUUUUCUUCCCCUCUCCCCUUCCAUAUUUUUUACAAGGGAUCCAACGUAUAGAGGGUGCAACUCCAUACUUGAUCCACCCUUGAUAAUGCAUAUACCGGGGGCCAUGCAAAAGAACUGAAGGUUCGAUGCUAGCAUACGACACAUUCACAUAUUUGGUAGAAUUAAUUUUCAU
rnacentral:lncRNA from 1 species